GUGGGGAAUAUUGCACAAUGGGGGAAACCCUGAUGCAGCAACGCCGCGUGAGUGAAGAAGUAUUUCGGUAUGUAAAGCUCUAUCAGCAGGGAAGAAAAUGACGGUACCUGACUAAGAAGCCCCGGCUAACUACGUGCCAGCAGCCGCGGUAAUACGUAGGGGGCAAGCGUUAUCCGGAUUUACUGGGUGUAAAGGGAGCGUAGACGGCAGCGCAAGUCUGAAGUGAAAGCCCGGGGCUCAACCCCGGAAUGGCUUUGGAAACUGCGCGGCUAGAGUACCGGAGGGGUAAGCGGAAUUCCUAGUGUAGCGGUGAAAUGCGUAGAUAUUAGGAGGAACACCAGUGGCGAAGGCGGCUUACUGGACGGUAACUGACGUUGAGGCUCGAAAGCGUGGGGAGCAAACAGGAUUAGAAACCCGUGUAGUCC
rnacentral:rRNA from 1 species